CGGACGGGUGAGUAAUGUCUGGGAAACUGCCUGAUGGAGGGGGAUAACUACUGGAAACGGUAGCUUAUACCGCAUAACGUCGCAAGACCAAAGAGGGGGACCUUCGGGCCUCUUGCCAUCGGAUGUGCCCAGAUGGGAUUAGCUAGUAGGUGGGGUAACGGCUCACCUAGGCGACGAUCCCUAGCUGGUCUGAGAGGAUGACCAGCCACACUGGAACUGAGACACGGUCCAG
rnacentral:rRNA from 1 species